UCCCGCCGCCACCGCCCCGGCACCCACCGCCCCUCCCGCCCGCCGCCAUGAGCCCUCGGCUCCACGGCCUCGCCCUCCUCCUCCUCGCGGCCCUGCCAGGGCUGCGGGCGGCCGUGCAGCUGAGCGAGUCCGGAGGGGGCCUCCAGCCGCCCGGCGGCAGCCUCCGCCUCGCCUGCAAGGCCAGCGGCUUCACCUUCAGCAGCUUCAGCAUGGUUUGGGUCCGGCAGGCGCCCGGGAAGGGGCUCGAGUGGGUCGCGGGUAUUAGCAGCGAUGGUAGUGGUACAGGCUACGCGGAUGCGGUGCAAGGGCGCUUCACCGCCUCCAGGGACAACGCCCAGAGCACGCUCUACCUGCAGAUGAGCAGCCUCCAGACCGACGACACCGGCACCUACUACUGCGCGAAAAGUGCUGGUGCUCACGGCGGUGCAGAGCCCGGCAGCGGCCCGUCCUCCCGGGGGGGGGGGUCUUGGAGAGCUGCGAUUUGGGGCAGAAAAGGGGUUUUUGCGCGCUGCCUCGGGGCUUUUUCGCACCGUGAUAAUAUCGAUCCUUGGGGCCGAGGAGUGCUGGUGACUGUCUCUUCAGGGCGCCCCAGCGCCCCGAGCCUCUUCCCGCUGGUCUCCUGCGGCACGCCGGAGAGCAGCGAGCUCUACUCGGUGGGCUGCUUGGCCCUGGACUUCCUGCCCGAGGCGCUCGCCUUCUCCUGGACCAACUACGCCAACGAGAGCGUCUCCGGCGGCGUCGCCGUCUUCCCCGCGACCCUCGCCGACGGGCUCUACACGGCCGCCAGCCAGCUGACGCUGCCGCUGCCCGACGGCAAGAGCCAGCAGCCCUUCUACUGCCGGGCCCGGCACUCGGAGGGCGACCGCUACCUGCGGGUGGUCAACCCCGCAGACCCGGUCGACGCCGUCCCCGCGGUGAGCAUCCACCCGCCGUCCCGGGACGACUUCGAGGGGCCCUACAGGAACUCCACGGUCCUCUGCCGGGUGGUCAGCCCCCGCGGCCUGCCCGUCGCCGUGCAGUGGCUGAGGAACGGGGCUCUGCAGGAGGCCGGCGUGGCCACCGAGCGCCCCGUCCCCGACGGCCGCGGCGGCUACGUCACCAGCAGCGGCCUCUCCGUCUCCGAGUCGGACUGGAACGCCGGCACCACCUACACCUGCAAGGUGGACGCCGAGAUGCGGAACACCAGCAAGGCCAUGGAGUGCGGCUAUGACCACCAGCCGGACGUGAAGAUCGUGGUGAGGACCGUCGCCCCGGCUUUCGCCGACAUCUUCAUCGACAAGGUGGCCAAGCUGACCUGCCGGGUGGCCAACCUGCCCAGCGUGGAGGGCCUGGCCAUCGCCUGGGGCAAGGAGUCGGGCCAGGAGCUGGAGACCAAGACGUUGCCCCAGGUGCUGCAGCCCAACGGCCUCUACAGCGUGGACGGCGUGGCCACCGUCUGCGCCGACGAGUGGGACAAGGGGGAGGUCUACACGUGCAGAGUGAGCCACCCCGAGCUGCUCUUCCCCGCCGAGGAAAAGCUGCAGAAGAAGAGCGACAGCGACGCCAAGGCCCCGUCCAUCUACGUCUUCUCGCCGCCGGCCGAGCAGCUCUCCAUGCACGAGACGGCGACGGUGACCUGCCUGGUGAAGGGCUUCAACCCGCCCGACCUCUUCGUCCGCUGGCUGCGCAACGGGGAGCCGGUGGCGGCCGGCGACUACGUGACGCUGCCGCCGGCGGCCGAGGGGCAGCCGCCGCGCUCCUACUUCACCUACAGCGCCCUGAGCGUCGGCGGCGAGGACUGGGCCGCCGGCAACGUCUACACCUGCCUGGUGGGGCACGAGAAGCUGCCGCUGCAGGUGGCCCAGAAGUCGGUGGACAAGUCCUCGGCCUACCUGGACGGCUUCACGGAGGUGGAAGAGGAGGACCUGAACAACCUCUGGACCACAGCGUCGACCUUCAUCGUCCUCUUCAUCCUCAGCCUCUUCUACAGCGCCACGGUGACCUUGAUCAAGGUGAAAUAACCGGUUUCCUGGGAAAGGCACACUGCCCGAAGAUGCCGCCACCGGCUCCGGCUCCUCGGCAGCCCGUUUCCCCGCCGGGAGGUUUCGGGACUCUCCUGCUCUCCGUUUCGGGCUUGUUUGGUGCCGGACCGGCGGCCGCGGAGUGGGAGGCGUUGCAGCCGGGCUUCGGUUGCCCUUGUGAUUUGUUUUUUCCUUGUAAAUAGCUGGAAAAAUAAAGGUUCCUAGUGUUUCCCCAGCA